GAUGAACGCUAGCGGCAGGCUUAAUACAUGCAAGUCGUGGGGCAGCAGGACUGUAGCAUUACAGUUGCUGGCGACCGGCAAACGGGUGCGGAACACGUACGCAGCUUACCCUGAACUGGGGGAUAGCCCGGGGAAACCCGGAUUAAUACCCCGUAAUAUAAUGGAGUGGCAUCACUUUAUUAUUAAAGCUCCGGCGGUUCGGGAUGGGCGUGCGGCUGAUUAGGUAGUUGGUUGAGGUAACGGCUCACCAAGCCUACGAUCAGUAACUGGUGUGAGAGCACGACCAGUCAGACGGGGACUGAGACACGGGCGCGACAGCUACGGGAGGCAGCAGUACGGAAUAUAGGGCAAUGGAGGCAACUCUGACCCAGCCAUGCCGGGUGGAGGAGGAAGGCCCUCGGGGUGGUAAACUUCUUUUAUAGGGGACGAAACCUGUGUAAUCUUGCGCAGUUGACGGUACCCUAGGAAUAAGCACCGGCUAACUCCGUG
rnacentral:rRNA from 1 species